GGUUAAGUGACUAAGCGUACAUGGUGGAUGCCUUGGCAGUCAGAGGCGAUGAAGGACGUACUAACCUGCGAUAAGCUGUGAGAAGUCGGUAAGAGACGCUAUUACUCACAGAUUUCCGAAUGGGGAAACCCACCCGAGAUAACUCGGGUAUCUGUUACUGAAUACAUAGGUAACAGAGGCGAACCGGGAGAACUGAAACAUCUAAGUACCCCGAGGAAAAGAAAUCAACCGAGAUUCCCUCAGUAGCGGCGAGCGAACGGGGAUUAGCCCUUAAGCAUCUUGGAAGUUAGUGGAACGGUCCUGGAAAGGCCGGCGAUACAGGGUGAUAGCCCCGUACACGAAAACAACCUUGAUGUGAAAUCGAGUAGGGCGGGACACGUGACAUCCUGUCUGAAUAUGGGGGGACCAUCCUCCAAGGCUAAAUACUCCUGACUGACCGAUAGUGAACCAGUACCGUGAGGGAAAGGCGAAAAGAACCCCUGUGAGGGGAGUGAAAUAGAACCUGAAACCGUGUACGUACAAGCAGUGGGAGCCCUUCGGGGUGACUGCGUACCUUUUGUAUAAUGGGUCAGCGACUUACAUUUUGUAGCGAGGUUAACCGUAUAGGGGAGCCGUAGGGAAACCGAGUCUUAACUGGGCGUCUAGUUGCAAGGUGUAGACCCGAAACCGGGUGAUCUAGCCAUGGGCAGGUUGAAGGUUGAGUAACAUCAACUGGAGGACCGAACCCACUAACGUUGCAAAGUUAGGGGAUGACCUGUGGCUGGGGGUGAAAGGCCAAUCAAACUCGGAGAUAGCUGGUUCUCCCCGAAAGCUAUUUAGGUAGCGCCUCGGACGAAUACUACUGGGGGUAGAGCACUGUUUGGGCUAGGGGGUCAUCCCGACUUACCAACCCCAUGCAAACUCCGAAUACCAGUAAGUAAUAUCCGGGAGACACACGGCGGGUGCUAACGUCCGUCGUGAAGAGGGAAACAACCCAGACCGCCGGCUAAGGUCCCAAAGUUCUGGUUAAGUGGGAAACGAUGUGGGAAGGCUCAGACAGCUAGGAUGUUGGCUUAGAAGCAGCCAUCAUUUAAAGAAAGCGUAAUAGCUCACUAGUCGAGUCGGCCUGCGCGGAAGAUGUAACGGGGCUCAAACCAGGCACCGAAGCCGCGGAUUCACACUUAUGUGUGAGUGGUAGGGGAGCGUUCUGUAAGUCUGCGAAGGUGUAUCGAGAGGUAUGCUGGAGAUAUCAGAAGUGCGAAUGCUGACGUAAGUAACGAUAAAGGGGGUGAAAAGCCUCCUCGCCGGAAGACCAAGGGUUCCUGUCCAACGUUAAUCGGGGCAGGGUGAGUCGACCCCUAAGGCGAGGCCGAAAGGCGUAGUCGAUGGGAAGCAGGUUAAUAUUCCUGCACGACUUGUAAUUGCGAUGGGGGGACGGAGAAGGCUAGGUGGGCCAGGCGACGGUUGUCCUGGUGAAAGUGCGUAGGUGGUGUUUCUAGGCAAAUCCGGAGACACA
rnacentral:rRNA from 1 species